UACGUAGGGGGCAAGCGUUGUCCGGAUUUAUUGGGCGUAAAGAGCGUGUAGGCGGCUUUACAGGUCCGUUGUGAAAACUCGAGGCUCAACCUCGAGACGCCGGUGAAAACCGUAAGGCUAGAGUCCGGAAGAGGAGAGUGGAAUUCCUGGUGUAGCGGUGAAAUGCGCAGAUAUCAGGAAGAACACCCGUGGCGAAGGCGGCUCUCUGGGACGGUACUGACGCUGAGACGCGAAAGCGUGGGGAGCAAACAGG
rnacentral:rRNA from 1 species